ACGCUCGACACCUACGGGAGGCGGCAGUGGGGAAUAUUGCACAAUGGGGGAAACCCGUGAUGCAGCGACGCCGCGUGGAGGAAGAAGGUCUUCGGAUUGUAAACUCCUGUUGUUGGGGAAAAAGAGGAUGGUACCCAACAAGGAAGUGACGGCUAACUACGUGCCAGCAGCCGCGGUAAUCUGAGCGGGCUGGCAAGGC
rnacentral:rRNA from 1 species